rnacentral:misc_RNA from 1 species
GAUGAAGAACGCAGUGAAAUGCGAUAAGUAAUGUGAAUUGCAGAAUUCAGUGAAUCAUCGAAUCUUUGAACGCACAUUGCGCCCGCCAGUAUUCUGGCGGGCAUGCCUGUUCGAGCGUCAUUUCAACCAUCAAGCCCCCGGCUUGUGUUGGGGACCUGCGGCUGCCACAGGCCCUGAAAACCAGUGGCGGGCUCGCUAGUCACUCCGAGCGUAGUAAUACAUCUCGCUCAGGGCGUGCUGCGGGUUCCGGCCGUUAAAAAAGCCUUAUUUACCCAAGGUUGACCUCGGAUCAGGUAGGAAGACCCGCUGAACUUAAGCAUAUCAAUAAGCGGAGGA